rnacentral:rRNA from 1 species
CGAGAACACUCAGCUUGCUGGGGUAAAGUAAGUGGCGCACGGGUGAGUAACGCGUGGGUAAUCUGCCCUCGAAUCUGGGAUACCCCGCGAAAGCGGGGCUAAUACCGGAUGAAAUCCAGUUAGCUUUGGCUAUAUGGAUCAAAGGUGGCCUCUGCAUGCAAGCUACUGUNUGGGGAUGAGCCCGCGUACCAUUAGCUUGUUGGUGGGGUAAAGGCCCACCAAGGCGACGAUGGUUAGCUGGUCUGAGAGGAUGAUCAGCCACACUGGAACUGGAACACGGUCCAGACUCCUACGGGAGGCAGCAGUGAGGAAUUUUGCGCAAUGGGGGUAACCCUGACGCAGCAACGCCGCGUGAGUGAUGAAGGCCUUCGGGUCGUAAAGCUCUGUCAAGUGGGAAGAACCCAUUCCGGCACAACAAGCCGGGGUGCUGACGGUACCACUGAAGGAAGCACCGGCUAACUCCGUGCCAGCAGCCGCGGUAAUACGGAGGGUGCGAGCGUUAUUCGGAAUUACUGGGCGUAAAGGGCGCGUAGGCGGCCGAUUAAGUCAGAUGUGAAAUCCCGGGGCUUACCCCCGGAAGUGCAUUUGAUACUGAACGGCUUGAGUAUGGGAGAGGGAAGUGGAAUUCCUGGUGUAGCGGUGAAAUGCGUAGAUCUCAGGAGGAACACCGGUGGCGAAGGCGACUUCCUGGACCAAUACUGACGCUGAGGCGCGAAGGCGUGGGGAGCAAACAGGAUUAGAUACCCUGGUAGUCCACGCAGUAAACGGUGAUCACUAGGUGUAGCGGGUAUUGACCCCUGCUGUGCUCGGAGUUAACGCAUUAAGGGAUCCGCCUGGGGAGUACGUCCGCAAGUUUAAAACUCAAAGGAAUUUGACGGGGGCCCGCACAAUCGUUGGAGCAUGUGGUUUAAUUCGACGCAACGCGAAGAACCUUACCUGGAUUUGACAUCUCGGGAAUCCCGCGGAAACGCGGGAGUGCCCUUCGGGGAGCCCGAAGACAGGUGCUGCAUGGCUGUCGUCAGCUCGUUUCGUGAGAUGAUGGGUUAAGUCCCGCAACCGAGCGCAACCCCUAUCUUCAAGUUACCAGCGAGUAAAGUCGGGGACUCUGGAGAUACUGCC